rnacentral:misc_RNA from 1 species
CUCUGCUUCACGGUUCAAACGUCUUAAUGGUUUUGAAAACCUCAAUUCACGGCGCUCACAACGUUUCCCCUCUUCUUCUCUGGAUCUCAUCGCAGCUCGCUUUUGCCUCCACCUCCCCCCCCAAUAGCUCCCUGAUUUCUCCGCAACUGACAUAUUCACCAAAACCCUAAAUCGGAGUGAUUCGACUCAUUCAACGCGCACAAAUACACAUAGAGUGAGUGAUUCGACUCAUUCAACACGCGCAAAUACAGAGAGUACUAUCCUCUGGCCAUGCGACUCUGGUUCUCUGCAAUCUCCCUCUCCAGAGAGGACUCGUUGAGUUUUGUUCAAAACUCUGCUUGCCCACUGUUUGAUUGUACGAAUUCUACAAGAAAUGUCCACCGAUUCUAAUGUUCCUAAUCCCAGGGGUCUUCUCUGCAAUGCCGGCGCAGGGGCCGCUGCGGGAGUUAUUGCUGCAACAUUUGUCUGUCCUUUAGAUGUAAUCAAGACUAGGUUUCAGGUUCACGGGCUGCCGAAGCUCGAUAAUGGAAGUAUUAAAGGAAGUCUCAUAGUGGGUAGUUUGGAACAAAUAUUCCAGAAGGAAGGGCUACGGGGCAUGUACCGGGGCCUUGGUUCUACUGUGUUGGCAUUACUUCCUAAUUGGGCAGUCUAUUUUGCAAUAUAUGAGCAGCUCAAAAGCUUUCUUUCUUCCAAUGAUGAGAAUCAUCUU